rnacentral:rRNA from 1 species
GAUGAACGCUGGCGGCGUGCCUAAUACAUGCAAGUCGAGCGAACAGACGAGGAGCUUGCUCCUUUGACGUUAGCGGCGGACGGGUGAGUAGCACGUGGAUAACCUACCUAUAAGACUGGGAUAACUUCGGGAAACCGGAGCUAAUACCGGAUAACAUGUUGAACCGCAUGGUUCAACAGUGAAAGACGGUCUUGCUGUCACUUAUAGAUGGAUCCGCGCCGCAUUAGCUAGUUGGUAAGGUAACGGCUUACCAAGGCAACGAUGCGUAGCCGACCUGAGAGGGUGAUCGGCCACACUGGAACUGAGACACGGUCCAGACUCCUACGGGAGGCAGCAGUAGGGAAUCUUCCGCAAUGGGCGAAAGCCUGACGGAGCAACGCCGCGUGAGUGAAGAAGGUCUUCGGAUCGUAAAACUCUGUUAUUAGGGAAGAACAAAUGUGUAAGUAACUAUGCACGUCUUGACGGUACCUAAUCAGAAAGCCACGGCUAACUACGUG